rnacentral:rRNA from 1 species
UAGGGAAUCUUCGGCAAUGGGGGGAACCCUGACCGAGCAACGCCGCGUGAGUGAAGAAGGUUUUCGGAUCGUAAAGCCCUGUUGUUAAGGAAGAACGAGUGUGAGAAUGGAAAGUUCAUACUGUGACGGUACUUAACCAGAAAGGGACGGCUAACUACGUGCCAGCAGCCGCGGUAAUACGUAGGUCCCGAGCGUUGUCCGGAUUUAUUGGGCGUAAAGCGAGCGCAGGCGGUUGGAUAAGUCUGAAGUUAAAGGCAGUGGCUCAACCAUUGUAGGCUUUGGAAACUGUUUAACUGGAGUGCAGAAGGGGAGAGUGGAAUUCCAUGUGUAGCGGUGAAAUGCGUAGAUAUAUGGGGGAACACCGGUGGCGAAAGCGGCUCUCUGGUCUGUAACUGACGCUGAGGCUCGAAAGCGUGGGGAGCGAACAGG